GAUGAACGCUGGCGGCGUGCCUAAUACAUGCAAGUCGAGCGAACAGACGAGGAGCUUGCUCCUUUGACGUUAGCGGCGGACGGGUGAGUAACACGUGGAUAACCUACCUAUAAGACUGGGAUAACUUCGGGAAACCGGAGCUAAUACCGGAUAACAUGUUGAACCGCAUGGUUCAACAGUGAAAGACGGUCUUGCUGUCACUUAUAGAUGGAUCCGCGCCGCAUUAGCUAGUUGGUAAGGUAACGGCUUACCAAGGCAACGAUGCGUAGCCGACCUGAGAGGGGGAUCGGCCACACUGGACCUGAGACCCGGUCCAGACUCCUACGGGAGGCAGCAGUAGGGAAUCUUCCGCAAUGGGCGAAAGCCUGACGGAGCAACGCCGCGUGAGUGAAGAAGGUCUUCGGAUCGUAAAACUCUGUUAUUAGGGAAGAACAAAUGUGUAAGUAACUAUGCACGUCUUGACGGUACCUAAUCAGAAAGCCACGGCUAACUACGU
rnacentral:rRNA from 1 species